AUGAAAAUGAAUCUAGCUUUUUGUAAGUCAUGGCAGCAAUAUAACAUAUCAUUGUUUGGUUCUCUGCUAGACAGUCCCUGCUGUUUUUACAUAGAAAUUCCUGUAAUACUUAAUGGACAUCUGGAAGAAUUCAGCCAAUUAAUCGAAUUCACACAGGAGCUAGGCUAAUGGCUGUCUGAAAGGCAGAUUACAUUAAAUCAAACUUGCAAUAUGAAUGAAAGUACUUAAUCAUACAUGCAACAUUCAUUAGAUGCGGCACAGCAAGUGUUUUGAUUACUUUAAUGAAAGAUCAGGUAAAGUGCAUCAACUGAACAGAUUGAAGAGACAGCAUGCUUACAAAUGUUUGAUUAUGUUGACUAUCAACAGAAACAGUGCCAGUAAUUUAUAGCAAAAACAUAUUUGGAGGAGGAGGAGUAUGGAGCCGGUGAACUUGGGAGGGGAGCUGAAAUUUCGGCCUCGCCUUCAAACACCUUAAUUAAUAGGCAGGAUAGCGAGACUUUAAUCAAAUGUCACAGAAGCAGCAAAACAGACGCAUUUGGAGAAUCCCGUAUGGUGACUGCUGGUCUUCACCGGUGUUUGCCAUCCUCACACUCGAUGCUGGUUUUGAAUCCCCCGUGUUUUGUCUGACCUGGGAGUAAACACGGCAAAUUCCUAACUGCACAAAUAUCUUCAAAGAAGGGCACGGUUCGAGAAAGGCAGUGAGUUCUGAUUUGUGCUGCUCCCCGCUGCUGGAGGCAGCCCCAGUCUCCAUGCCAGCAGCCCUGGCCCACUGCACCCUAAAACGCCAUCACGUUCUUCCUUCUCUGAGUUCUUCAGCUGGAAACUCCUUUUGUCCUCAUUCCCAGGGGGUUCCCACCCUAUUCACCACUGCUAUGAGCACAGCCUCCCCCCAGCGACCCACUGUAACCCAGCUGCAGCCUCACCAGUCUGAAGAUAGGAGCUCGCCAGCUUCCAGGGCCCGAAAGUGUUUCUUCUCCAGGGUCCUUCAUUCCUUGCCUGCACUCUUCUGCUUUGUAAACAAGUGCUUGGCUGUGUGCAGAGGUGGGUAGCUCACCUGGGGGCUGCAUUUCUCCCUCUAUGUUUUACUAUCUUACCUGGAGCAGAUUCUAUAGUUUUUGGAAGCACACACACAGUCUUUGGAGGAGGAGUUGGGUCUUGGAACCCAAGCAUCCUAUGGUUAUGGACCAUGACAUCUUUCCUGGACAGUGGUACCAGCUUGCUGGGAGGGAUGCUGAAGACUUCCCUGCACUGCAACAAAAUAUUUUGUGGCUGCGGUUCUCCUGGCUCUGCCCUCUGUGCUCCGGAAUCCUCUUCCCUCUAGGGAAAUGAAUAGAGAAACUGUGGGUUUCUACCUCCUGCCUGAACUCUAUUGGAGGCAGGUGUGGAGUUACGCAGCGCGGUGAGCUCUGUCUCUCUCACCCUGCUUUUCUGUUAUCUCUCAGGCUGUGCUCCUCACAGGCAGAGCUGCCCACCUGUCUGUGCAUACGUCCAUGCAGCACGCAGCUGGGAAGCGAUCUCACUGAGAGCUGCUGUUGCUAUUCAUAUAAUUAAUAACUGUGACCUUUCCAUAAAAAUGAGUAUCUUUUUCAGUGAAUUACGACAUAUAAUGAUGUUUGUAGGAAACAGACUGCUGGGUAUCUCAUGCCGAAGAACGCCCGAGCUUCCUAUUUAUGACUUUGUGAGAUCAAUAAAUAACUCCAUUACAAGCAAAAUUGUAAUGGCAAAUGGCUUCAGCCUGUGGGACACCAGCUGAAACCCAUAAUGAAAUCACAUCAGCCCUGAUGGUCCCGUGGAGGCCUUUGGAGGACUGGUGGGAGUUUGGGCAUGUCAGCAGCUCCCUGGAGAGGACCCAGCGGCCCUGAAGCAGCCCUGGUGGGUUGGAGGUGGGGAGAGGCCGCUCUGAGGGUACACUGAGGGUCCCCGAGCCCUCUGGCACAGGGGCAGGGCUGGGAGCCACAGCACCGUAGCCGUGUCUUCAUCUGCUUGAUACAGCAAUGUGGCCACAUCGACAGCUCUACAACCAGGGCAACAAUGGCCUGAGUCCAUUUACAAAAUAGAAGAGAGGGUGAAUGCUUUCAUAGUGUUCUAAAAUGCCUUAAAAUCCCUCCAGUCCACAGAACAAAGUGUUUCAUACCUUCUCUUCUGGAAACCUUUCGGCUAAUAUUUGAGCAAUAAGGAAAACACAGCAGCUGUUAGCGUAAUUUCCCCCUUGAGGCAGAUUGUCCUCAGGUAGAACAAAACCCAAUUAACGUACCGCCAAGGUCAGUUAAAUUAGACAACGCAGACCGUCCUAACGCAGAGCUUUCCUCCAGCGGCUGCCACCAGCGCCGUGUGCCAGCCCGGCAGAAGCACCAGAGCAGCGGGGCCUGUCUGUGUGAGCUGCUGUGGGUAUCGGGGACAGGCGGCUGCCGUCUGCCUUCUGCUUGCUGCUCCUGCCGUUGCAAACCAGAUGUCGAAGGAAGAUUUAAAAGUCAACUUUAUUCGAAAUUCGAAAAUAUAAAACAACUUGACCACAAGGAGUCCUUUUUAUGUGGCGGGGAGGGGACACAUGAAGGGGAGAAAGGCUCUUUAAUCCCCUGCUUAUAGUCCCUUUCUAUUUUAGUUUUAACUUUUAUUUUUUAAAGCUGUGGUUAUUUUUUCUUUAAUUAAGCAGCCAGAGACAUUUCUCCCUCUCUCUGCCCCUUCAGCCCCCAGAAGGGCUUCUCUGAGAACCAGACCUCACCCCAGCCUUUUCCCUCGCAGCCGGGAUGGCUGCCAUACGUACAUUCCUCUCCCUUUUGGUGCCUGAAGACUGCUCAGAAGCUCCAGAUGCAGCUGUGUGCUCGCUCAGCACUGAUUUGUUGGGACACUGCAUCGCACCUCAUUCCCCAGCCCCCACCCGGCCUGGGUCACUAUGGAUGCCACUGCAUUUUUCAGCCAGAAAUGCGAGUUCUGUACACCGUGGGAAUAACCCUUUGGCCAAUCCAAUCUCACCUAAGGAUGAUUGUUUUACGUAAGCAGCCAAUACGUUUGAUCAAGCCCGAUCCACUUUGAUCAGACCACAGAGAACACAGUGUGUGGCAGGAGACCUGGCUGGUUCUCCUGAGAGCAACCCGUUCCUUGCUUAGGAAACCUUGAACAUAAAGCUCCCUGCCAUGUGGUGGUUAGACGAGCCGAGAGCUGCACCAUCGGCAGUGUGAUGGUGCCAAUGGAAUUCAAUGUCAGCGGAUAAGAAUCCUGCAGAUUCAGGAUUUGUAUGUGCAUGUGCACAGAAUUGUUAAAUAUUUUUAUAAAUUACCUGAAUUUCUUAAUUAUGAAAAUUUUAGAAGGAAUACAAGCUGAAGAUAAGAGUAUAACACCACAUGACAAGCCCGAAAACCUGGCAGCUCACAGAUCCAGUGCAAGGACAGUCAACAGAGCAAACUUCAGUGGGGCUGGGGUGAAAAUAAUCUGGAAUGAAACUCUAAGUGGGAGUCAAGCAACUGGAAGCCAGCACAGGAGAAGGGGCAGGGAAGACAGUACGCUUAUUGAGGCAAAACCAGGCACAAAUCCCAGAACAGGUUUGCAGCAUCUUUGUUAAUGACCCACAGGCACUUGCUGUGGUGAGACACCAAUGGGACAACGAGCCCGUCAGGCCCAGUCCCACCUCAACCUGACAUCCACGGAGCCAGACAGGGUGGGUGCCGUGGGUACCGCGAGCCCAGGGGGCUCAGAGCCCUCACUGUUAGAGAAAGAGCUGUAGAAGGACAGAGGGUGGUAAGGGAUGAGGCUGGAGCAGUUCUUUGGGCUGUGCUGUUACUGGCAAUGUCUGGUGUUCCGGAUAACACACCCAGUGCACCUGAUGGUGUCCAACGGGCACGACCUCGGCUGUUCCCAAAAGGAAGAGGCACCACCAGGCUCCUCAGCCCGCAGGGCCGCAGGCACGUGGGGCGCUCCCAGCACAGGCUCCCUGUGCAACGUGACCGCAGCGAGACGAGCACCGAAGGGAAGGAACACCGCUCUGCAAAUCAGAAGGGCUAUUUACGCUCUGCUUGCAGAGCAGCGAAACACGGCGCAUUUGUAAGCGGAGAUGCGGUAAUUCAGUGAGAAAUGCAGUUGGGAAGUCCCAGUCACAAAGGUCGACCAAACACUAGGAAGAAUCGCGCAGUCAGUCAGGGAGGGAUCCAGCUGUGCUGAGCACGGCUCAUCGGUCCCAAUUAGAGCGGUUUGUACUAACAAAGGGUGAUCUCUAGCCCGCAGAGCCUGUAAUCUAAUUUAAAAUUCAGUGCAACAAUGAAAAUGAGGGAAAAUAGGAGAGUAAUGUAAAACAUGAUUAAGAGUUUGCUAAGCAAAUGUAAUCAGAGCACUCACAGAGACAAGUGGCUGAGUGUUUGGAGCAGGUGGGGCGAGUUGUCUUUCUGCACGAGGGCUCGCAUCCUCACCACCACCGCUGCAAAGCCCCUGCCCGAGGGGUGCCGGAUCUCCCGUGCCCGUUUCUGUGCCCCCAUUUCUGCAGGCAGGGGAUGCUCUCGGUGGGCCCUGUGGCACAGCCGCGGCUGGGGCCGGGCUCCAGGCACAGCGCAGGGCACGGAGCGAGGCUCCAGCCCGUGCAUCGGCCACGGCACGCCGCUUUGCAAAGUCCCCGCGGGACCGUCACAGCUCAGUCUGCGUGACACCCAGAAGAGACGUACUGACAACUCGAGGCGGCUCGGAGGAAGCGUGGCAAAGCAAUUCCUCCCCCAGCGCACAGCAGCGCUUCCCAAGGGCGGCCGUCAGCAACCGGCUGAACGCCGCCGCACCGCGCACGAACGCACACUCGCG
ensembl:lncRNA